UUUUAUAUGAUGAAAUUAUGAUUUGCUUGAAAAAAACUAUGAUAGUUUCAAUGAGCUUUUUAACACUGAACAAU